GGAAAACCUACUUAUCCAGAUGCAAUUAGUCUUUGCUAAAUGAUCACAUGCGUGUUCAUAAAUUAUUCAAAAGAUAGUCAUUCUCCAUUCAUGUGGGGAUUGUUGAGUUCAAUGUGUGAAUGAAUGAAAAAUAGAGGGAAAAAUAGUGGAGAAAAAUAGAGUAACCAAAAUGAAAAGUAUACGCUUAUAUUAGAAAGUUCACUAAUUCUCCCACAUUGGUGGGAGAAGGGAACUUUGGAGUAUUUAUAAUAAAGAACACUUACUCCACAUAGAUUGUGAGUCAAGAACAAGGUGGUGUCUAGUGCUGUCGUCUUUGUCGCUCGUUCGGCUCGGCUUCGGCUUCGAAUUUGGAUUUAGAUUUGGAUUUGUAAAAUGAUCGAUCGAUGAUAUCUAUCUUUUUAGACGAAUUUUAUUUGAAACUUAUUUUACAAGUGAAAUUUUAAUCCAAAAAUCUUAUAGAAUUGUUUUUCUCCAAGUGCGAGCGCAUUUCGGACGCCAUACAAACGCAUACACAAUGCAUCUCGAAGGGUGACCUACGAGCGCAGAUGCAGCGUAGGUACGCGACCUGUGGGUGCAGAUGUAGCGCAGAAACUACUAGAAUUCGCAAAACGUCACCUGCGACUGCAGAUCAGGCGUAGGUCCAACACAGACUGGGCACAGGUGAUGUGACUGUACUGAAUAGGUGUCUUUCUACUGAACCAAUGCAUCCUUUCUGAAAGGACACAUUAAAGGCUAUAAAUACCUAAUAUAUUCCUCGGGUAUAGACAUGAUUUUUUAUAGCAAAAACUUUCUUCUUCUAUACAAAAACUAUGUGUGAUCAUUAAGUUGUUGAGUGAGUUCGAGGAAUUCAACAAUUUGAGGUACCGUUAUUCUUUGGAUUAAAAGUCAUUUUAUCUUGGGAGGAAGAUUCCACAACUUCGGGUAUAGUGAGAAAAAUUAUUUGUGGCCAAAUUUGAACAAAAAAUUGUGGUCAUUUAGAUAAUACUCCAUAAUGUAUAAUUCCUUUUUUUUUUUUUCAAUAGUAGAUGGACAAAUGGGACAUUUUCCCUUAUAAAGAUCACUUGUACUUUCUUAUCUAAUCGUGUAACAACCAUCCCACAACUUUUAAUUUGGUCCACAAAAAAAGAAAGAAAAAUGUUUCAUGAAUUAAAAUUGUGGCCCUAACUCUUUUAUUGUACUGCCACAUGUUUUAACUUUUAAUUUAAUAAUGUGUGUUUGGAGCUACACAUAUUUACUCCCUUUAAUUUAUGUGAUAAUAUUUAACUAAAUAUAAAAUUUUAAAUAUAUAAAUAAUUUUAAAAUUUANNNNNNNNNNNNNNNNNNNNNNNNNNNNNNNNNNNNNNNNNNNNNNNNNNNNNNNNNNNNNNNNNNNNNNNNNNNNNNNNNNNNNNNNNNNNNNNNNNNNAUCAAGUUAUAUAUAUUUGUAUGAGCUAUAGAUUAUUUUCAUGAUGCAUGAAUUUUUUAAAUAUAUAUAAUAUUUUUAACUAUUCUUAUUUUUUUUCUGUUCUUCAAUUUUUCAUCACCCACAUCUUUGUUAUAAUUAGUCAUCAUAUACACGUUUCUUUUUUUUUUCUUUGGCGAGGGGAGGGGGGUUGCAUAUUUGACACUAUAAAUCUAACUCCAACACCUACAAAGACUACAUAAUUUCAUUUUAAUAUAUAUAUUUCAAAAACUAUUAUCAUAACACAUUGUUCUUUCUUUUAGUGAAUAGCACAAAUGGCACAUACUACUAGAAUUUCAAUAACACAUCACAAGCCAAAAUUAGUAGUUCCAGCGUUAGUAACGCCUCAUGAGACAAAACAACUUUCUGAAAUAGAUGAUCAAGGGCUUACACGUUUCCAAAGUGCCAUAUUAAUAGUUUACAAAUAUAGUUCUUCAAUGAAAGGAAAAGAUCCUGCAAAGAUCAUAAAAGAUGGAUUGUCUAAAACACUAGUAUUUUACUAUCCAUUAGCUGGUAGGAUCAUUGAAGGGUCCAAUAGGAAGCUUAUGGUGAAUUGUACUGGUGAAGGAAUUUUAUUUGUUGAAGCUGAUGCCAAUGUGGAGCUUGACAAGUUAGGUGACUCCAUUAAACCACCAUGUCCUUAUUUGGACUUACUACUCCAUAAUGUUCCUCAUUCUGAUGGAAUCAUUGGCUGUCCUCUUUUGUUAGUUCAGGUAAACAACCAAUAAUAUCUUUAAUACUUUUUACUUUCAAAACUUACUUUAUAGAGGGAGAUAUUGAUUGAUCCGUCUUUCUUUGAAUAAAAUGUCAAAUAGAAUCAACCUGAAUUAAGAUGCAUUAUUAUUGUAUUUUGUACCUCUAUAUUACGGUAAUUUGAUUACUUGUGAAUAUUACUUAUAUAUUCACUAUUAAUAUAUACUCUAAUUAAAUAGUUUUAAUUAAUUAUUAUAUUUUGAUAAAUUUAAACUAUAUUUAAAUAAUUUAUAAGUCUAAUUUGAAANNNNNNNNNNNNNNNNNNNNNNNNNNNNNNNNNNNNNNNNNNNNNNNNNNNNNNNNNNNNNNNNNNNNNNNNNNNNNNNNNNNNNNNNNNNNNNNNNNNNNNNNNNNNNNNNNNNNNNNNNNNNNNNNNNNNNNNNNNNNNNNNNNNNNNNNNNNNNNNNNNNNNNNNNNNNNNNNNNNNNNNNNNNNNNNNNNNNNNNNNNNNNNNNNNNNNNNNNNNNNNNNNNNNNNNNNNNNNNNNNNNNNNNNNNNNNNNNNNNNNNNNNNNNNNNNNNNNNNNNNNNNNNNNNNNNNNNNNNNNNNNNNNNNNNNNNNNNNNNNNNNNNNNNNNNNNNNNNNNNNNNNNNNNNNNNNNNNNNNNNNNNNNNNNNNNNNNNNNNNNNNNNNNNNNNNNNNNNNNNNNNNNNNNNNNNNNNNNNNNNNNNNNNNNNNNNNNNNNNNNNNNNNNNNNNNNNNNNNNNNNNNNNNNNNNNNNNNNNNNNNNNNNNNNNNNNNNNNNNNNNNNNNNNNNNNNNNNNNNNNNNNNNNNNNNNNNNNNNNNNNNNNNNNNNNNNNNNNNNNNNNNNNNNNNNNNNNNNNNNNNNNNNNNNNNNNNNNNNNNNNNNNNNNNNNNNNNNNNNNNNNNNNNNNNNNNNNNNNNNNNNNNNNNNNNNNNNNNNNNNNNNNNNNNNNNNNNNNNNNNNNNNNNNNNNNNNNNNNNNNNNNNNNNNNNNNNNNNNNNNNNNNNNNNNNNNNNNNNNNNNNNNNNNNNNNNNNNNNNNNNNNNNNNNNNNNNNNNNNNNNNNNNNNNNNNNNNNNNNNNNNNNNNNNNNNNNNNNNNNNNNNNNNNNNNNNNNNNNNNNNNNNNNNNNNNNNNNNNNNNNNNNNNNNNNNNNNNNNNNNNNNNNNNNNNNNNNNNNNNNNNNNNNNNNNNNNNNNNNNNNNNNNNNNNNNNNNNNNNNNNNNNNNNNNNNNNNNNNNNNNNNNNNNNNNNNNNNNNNNNNNNNNNNNNNNNNNNNNNNAGUAUGACUCAACAACUUAAUACUUCUAUAGUUGUUGCAACUCUGUAUGUCUUCCUUAUUAUUAUACACUGGAAUCAUCGUACUCUAUCUUCACGCUUCAGGCAACUUUGCUUCCUUAAAAAUAAUGUUAAACAACCUUACCAACCACUCCAAACCUGCUCUGCUAGUAGUCUUCCAAAAAUCUACUAGAAUCUCGUCUGGCCCCGUCGCCUUACCUUGCCGUAUCUUGCGAAUAGCUCCCUUGACCUUCUCGACCUUGAUACGCCUAUAAUAACCAAAAUUGCAACACUCCUAAGAUUUCUCCAAGUCCCCAAACACGAAACCUUUGUCCCCCUCACCAUUCAAAAAUUUAUGAAAAUAGGACUGCCACAUCUCCCUAAUGAGCGUAUCCUCAACCCACGUUGUACCAUCCUCUUCUAUGAGGCACUUCACUUGGUUAAGGUCACGAGCCCUCUGCUCCCUGGACUUGGCAAGCCUAUACAACUUCUUAUCUCCGCCUUUCUCCUCUAAAACUGCAUAUAAGCUUUCAAAAGUUGCGGUCUUAGCCUGCGUAACCUCUACCUUGGCCUCCCUUUUAGCUACCUUAUACUCCUCCUUAUUCAUCUACCUUUCCUGAUCAUCCUUUCUCUCAACUAACUUAGCAUAAGCCACCUUCUUAAACUCCAUCUUUCUCUUAACCUCUUUGUUCCACCACCAGUCUGCUCGAUGCUUGCCAGAUCGACCUCUCGAGACACCCAACACCUCUCUGGCAGUCUCCCUAAUGCAACUGGAAGUCAUCUCCCACAUACUAUCCACACCCCCUCUACUCUCUCAAGCCCCCUAAUCUUCAAUCUUGAUGUAUACUUUUAUCAUGUUAGACAAGAGAAAAUAAUAUAUAAUUAAAUUUCUUCACUUUCUUUACAAAUAUAAUUAUAAUAUAAAUGUUGCAACGGAAUCCAGACGGUGAAUCCUUUGGUAAAAACACUACACUAUAUUUAAAAGGUAUUUUUAAAAAAAAAAAGUUAUGUACAUUAUAGAUUUCGAACCUCUUUAAAAUAAGAUUAGAAGUAGGCUUAUUGGUUGAGUGAAUUCAAAAAUCGCCUUGAGGUUCCAAAUUCAAAUUUCAAUUACUAUUUUUUUUCGAACCCUUUUACUGAAAAUCCUCAAUCUGUUUCCACCGGUCAAAUUUAUAUAUUUGAAUCUUAAAUCUACCUCAAACUAUACCAUCAACGUAGACUUUGCUCAAUAGGCUGAUCAAAAUCAGCUAAAACGUAAUAUAUGGCUUUGAAAAAUUGAAUAUUUUGAAGAAGUAAUUUAUUUCAAGUUGUUGUUAUUGAAUUUUGUAGUGGAUCUUUUGACAAAUUUAAAUCUCAUAAUUGAGGAAGUUUAAAUAAGAUUUAAGUUGAUUUGAAAAAACUUUCAUAUUUGAGCUUGUUGGUGAAAAUAAUUUUUCUGAUUGCUUUUCCGAUCACCAUCAACAAACAAGAGAAAAGAAGAAAGAGGAUGAAAGAAAAUGAAGACGAUUUAGCAAAAGACCAAAUUGCCCUGGACAUUUGGAGCUUUGCAAGAGAAUAGGCAUAAUUUUCUCAACUAACGUAAUUCCACAAAAUCCUCUUAAGAAUUCCCUGUAUAUAUUCUUUUCUUGUAUAUAUAAUUUUCCUUGCACAAAAGAUUAUGCAGAAUAAAUUUGUACAGGCAACAACCAAUAACAUUAGGCCAAGUAUAAAAUUUUAUUAGAGUAGGUUAGAGUUUUUCACCUAUAUAGACUACCCUGUACAGAUUUAUACAGACACAGUGAAAUACGAAAUAAAUUUUUUCUUCUCAAUUGUUGUUUUCAUUCAUAGUAUCAGAGCAAGGGCUUUGAAUCCUUAUUCUUUCUCCUUUUUUUUUCAAAAUCCUAAACUAUGAUUCACUUCUUUUCAAUCAUGAGUGAUAAUUCAACCAUAAGAGCUCAAACAGCUAUAAUAGUUGCUGCUACUGAUUUUACUUCAUCUCUCCAUCUGAUUUACCGGGUACUUUACUGGUGAAUACUCCUUUUGAUGGAAAAAGUUUCGCAAGAUGGAAAAAAAGCAUGAUGAUUGCCUUGACUGCCGAAAAUAAGAUAGGUUUUAUUAAUAGAUCAACCACUGCACCAACUGAAACACAAAUCUGUACAAGGCUGGGAGCAGGGCCAAUAAUAUGGUGAUCUCCUGUCUUUUAAACUCUCUUUCUCCGGAGAUCUCAGACAGUGUCAUCUACUUAUUCACAGCUAAGGAGUUGUAGAAUGAUUUGGAAGCAAGGUUUUGCCAAAGCAGUGGGGCUAAGCUUUUUCAAUUUCAAAAAGAACUGAGUGGCCUUUCUCAAGGUGUUUGUGACAUUGCAACUUACUACACAAAGAUCAAGCAAUUAUGGUAUGAGCUUGAUGCUUUGGAUGCCUUCAUCAUAUGUAGUUGUGACUGAACCUGCGGAGCAAAAGACAAGAAUAUCAAGGCAAAGCAGGAUCUGAGGCUGGUAUAAUUUCUCAUGAGUUUGAAUGAGUCUUAUUGUAGUGUUAGAGGUAACAUCUUAAUGAUUCCUCCUUUGCCAUCUAUCGCUAAUGCUUAUGCACUACUCAUACAAGAAUAAAAACAAAGCAAAGUGCUCACAACUAUCAAAUAUCCUGGAGAUGUAUCUACUUUUGUAGCUACUGGACAGAACAAUUUUAAUAGGAGACCCCCUCAUCCGGCCAACAAAGGAAUGGAGUUUCACAAUGAAAAUAAAAAGUCUAACCUUGUUUGCAAAUAUUACAAAAAACCAGGGUAUAUCAUUGAUCAUUGUUAUAGGAUCCAUGAUUUUUUAGCCAAUUUUAAGUUUACCAGGACAAAGAACAAUACACACGUAGCACAAGGCAAUGUGGUUUCUUUAGAAGAAGGUGUAGAGAAUCAGUUUUACUAUAAUUUUAACACAAUAGAGACAGUAAAACUAUUCACUCAAGAACAACUGAAUCAAAUCAAGCAUAUGCUUAACUAAGGAAAAGUUGGUGAUCAAAACACUGAAACUGAGGUCAUAGCUAAUGCUAAUUGUGCUGAUAUAAGUCAUGUACCUUUUUCUUUUUAUUCUGAAAUAUCUCACAAAGAAAUCUAUCUUAAUUCGUGAAUCAUAGAUUCAGGAGCAAGUCAACACAUGACUUUUCAUAAAAAUUUCUUUAUAUCCCUUAAGUUAUUGCCUAGAGCAACCUUUGUCAAACUUCCUAACUUUCAUAGGGUUAGAGUAACACAUACAGGUUCUGUGAGACUAUUUCCAAAUUUCAUCAUCACCAAUGUUCUCUUUGUUCCAAGUUUCCAUUUCAAUUUGUUAUCUGUUCAAAAGUUAUGUGAACAAUUUCAUCAUUUAUUGAUCUUCUCUUCUUCUCAUUAUUUUAUGCAGGGGCCUUCAAUGAAGAGCCCAAUGAUGCUUGGCGAAUCCAAAAAUGGAAUUUAUGUAUUGCAGAGUAAUCAACCUUGUGUUUCCAAAUCUAGUAAGCCUAGUAGUAAUUUUUCUAAUUUAGUUUUUCAAUCAAAGAGUAGCAGUUCUAUUGCUUCGUCAAGUCUUUCUUUCUCUGAUGUAAACAAGAAGUUAUGGCAUAUUAGACUAGGACAUAUACUCUAUCCAAUAUGAGAAAUAUCAAUGAAAUUCCUAUUUAUGUUUAUUCAAAGUUUGAUGUGCCUUGUGAAAUUUAUCCCCAUAUUGAUACUUGGGUUCCUUUUCACAUUCCCACAUAUGUUGGUUAUAAGUAUUUUCUUACAAUAGUGGAUGAUUUUAGUAGAGGGACUUGGAUAUAUCCUGUAUCCACAAAAAGCAAUGCUUUUUCAGUUUAAAAAGGUUUCUUGACAAUGGUGAAAAGACAAUUUAAUAAAAGGGUGAAAAUAAUAAGAUCAGACAAUGCCUGGGAACUUGGAUCUAAUGUAGAAACUUCUUCUUUUCUUUCUUCUCAAUGUAUUAUUCACCAAAUAUCUUGUGUUGACACACAACAAUAAAAUGGUGUGAUAGAAAGAAAGCAUAAACAUAUACUCGAUAUGUCUAGAGCUUUACUAUUUUAGUCGCAUCUACCCUCAAAAUUUUGGGGUGACUGUGUCAUGAUAGCAACAUACCUUAUCAACAGAUGUCCUUCUAAGGUUCUAAAGUUCAAAACACCCUAUAACAGUUUAUUCGGAACGACUCCUUCUUACACUCAUCUAAGGAGUUUUGAAUGCUUAUGUUUUGCAUCUACUUUAACUUGAGGGAGACAUAUGUAGACACCUAAUUUGGUCACUCCCGAGAGUCACUUUUACUGAUUUUACCUUAUCCAACCUCAUGCCCUCAACCGUGUAAUUAUCCCUUCAUAAAAUGACAAAAAUAGCAACCAACUUUCAAUAAAUUAAUAAAAAAUUUUAUCUCAUACCUUAAACACUCGCACCCCAAUAGCCUCCUACCCCACCUACCCACAUAACCCCACCCCCAUAUUUUUUUUUCACGGUUUUGGCCUUUACAAAAGAGGAACAUAACACAAUAGAAGGGACCCCACUUUUUCCUUUUUUUUGUUUCUUAUUAAUAAAGUACAUAUACACAUAUAUGGACAAAUAUUAAAUGGGGGGAACCAAAAAAAAAUUUCCAGAUAAAAAAUAUUAUCAUCAUCUUCAACCAAAAAACGACCUGGAAGAAGAAAGGGAAAAGGACGUCAUUUUCUUCUUGUUUCUUCUUCUUAGACCAAAGCUAUACCAACUAAAAUUCGCACACACACGGAGAAAGAUUGAGAGAAAAAACAGUGAGAAAUAGAGGGAGAUUGAGGGAGGGAGAGUGAAAUCAAGAGAGUAAGGAACAAAAAUGGAGGGAAAUCGAAAAAGAGUGAGCAAAGCUCCGACCGGCGUUGAGUUUUUCGACGACUAUCUCACCCGAAUUUGCGCUACACAUUGGAUUAAGCAUCCUAGACUCAAGAUCUGCCUUCCCUUAUGCCAAAAUCCCAAACCAGUAGCGAAAAUUAGAUGAAAUCGACCCUUUUGGCAAAUUUUGAUGACAUUUGAGCUGACUCCGAUGAGAUUUCAUGGUUUGGAGUAUGGAUUCUCUGUUUUUUUGUGAUUUCAGUCUUGGUUUGAGUGUUAUUUCUUCUUUCUUUGGGUUUUAAAUCUGUCUGAGUUUUCUAUAUCCCGAUAUCGAGUUUGUUCGUCGUUGAGGUUCGGUUCAAGAUUUUGGAUGCGGUUCUAGUCGGAAGGAGCAAUUUCAAUUAAAAAGCAUUGAGGUCCAUUUCUCAUCUUAUUCUCUAUUCUAUUUUGAAAUUUUGAUUGUUUCUUAUGCGUGUGAAUAACUUAUUUGUUUAGCAUGCUUGAAUCUUUGUUGUGUGUACAUGGUUGAUAUUAAAUUUGAUAGUCGAAGAAUCGGUUUAAUCAUCCUGGGAAUGAAUUUAGGGAAUGGGAAUCAAAAAUUGAUAAAAGUGAAUAUUAUGGUAUUUUGAUUCAUUGUUGAUGUUGAACGUGAUAUGUCAUCAAGCGGGUAGGCAAACAGUAGGCUCGGGUAGGUAAAUUUAGAAUUGGUGGAUUGUUUGGAAUGCUUUGUGGAAUGGUUUAUCUUUCUCGUAUUUAGAAAAAAAUGUAUUCAUUUAGGUGGAAAAUGCCUCGAUACACAUUGUAUUUAUUAACCGGGGAAUUCCCCGACGUAUGAUGUUGGCAGAAGACGUUCGUGAUGAAGGCCCGAGGCAUUGGGUAAAGCAUAGUCUAGGAUUAGUUUAGAAUAGGGUAGGUUUGCAUUUUCGCAAAUUUUUAUUUUGGACUGUAUGAUUGGACUGGAUACGAAAUUUUGGAUUGUUUUGUUUUGUUUUGCUCGAUCAAUUAUUUUGCGUGCUUUGUGUGAUUUAUACACUCGUAGUUUCAAAUUAGCUGAUACGCUCCACCAAGCGACCAUGGUUAAACCACAGGAUUGAGGGGUGCCUAACACCUUUCCCUCGGUCAACAGAAUUCCUUAGUCAGAAUCUCUAUUUGCAUCUCAGUUUCUAGAGUCAAACUGUUUUGAAAAGGAUUCCCAAAGGUGACUUGGCACACCUGAUUUAUGUCAAGUGGCAACUCUGAGUUGAAAAAGGUAAAUAAUUCUUUUCAAAACAUCAUUUUCAAUCUUUUGUCACUUUGAUAAUAAAAACCCUUUCAAACGUUAAAAUUAAUAAAUUUUUAGAGUUGAAAAGGGGGUGUGACAGCUCUGGCGACUCUGCUGGGAAUUUUUAAGAAUUUGAGCUAAAUUUUGGAGUUGUAUCGGCUUAGUUUGGCACUAUAGAUGUAUAGACAUUUUGUUUAUAUUGUUUUGUGUUAUUGUUUAUCAUUGUUGAGUAGCUACGUGCUCUUUGUUUAAAGUUUUAUCUUAUGUGUUACUGCUUUAUAACUAGCAUCAUGAGCAUAACCCAAGUCAUUCUUUCUGCAAUAAGUCUGUAGUACACGUGUUGUACACGACCUCUAGUUGAGUCACCUUUAUUUUAGGAGGGGGAGCGGUCGGUGUUAUGGAGUGGGUGGAAAGCUCUCGCAGCCACUAUCGACCAUACGCCCCGCCGAACAAUCUUGUUUGUGAACCCCAGCGUAGGUCAGCCUUUAGGUCAUAUUUAUCUGCAUCAUAUUGAGACCUAGCGGGACCCACUUGGUCCUUUGUAGGAGACUCACCUCUAAAGCAUCCCUAUGUGCUAAAUGUUGCAUCUUUGAGGGUAACGUGGUCAUUUGAUGGACUGAUUCGGGAAAAGCAUGUGUUAGAAGUAAGGUGUGUUGAAAAAAAAAAGUGAGUAAAACAAAGAGAGUUUCGAAGUUUUUAGAGUUCUAUAUGACUUUUAUUUUCCAUAAUUCAAAAAUUAAAAAGAUUUUCACCUUUUGCACUCAUUUGUCAAAAUCAAAAACAUCAAAAAUAUUUUUCUUUUGUUUUCUUUAGCAAGUAUUCACAAUUCAAAAACUUCAAAAAGAUUUUUCAUUCAUAGGAGUUUUUAUAAAAGAAAAAUGUAAAAAUUGUAGGAGUUUUGUACAUUUCAUGAAAAUACCAAAAAGAUUUUUUAGUUGUUGGUAUCAGUUUUAUGUGGAGUGUCAAAAUGAAAACCCCAAAAAAAGAUUUUACUUUUAUCGUUGUAGUCUCGUCUCUCAAGUCAGGGUUCGGUCGGUUAUUUAAUCCAUAAUUGUCCUAUCUGGACGAACUACACACCCCUAAUUCUCCAUUUUCGGGAUGUGAGAUACGUAAGCAGCCUAUUAUUGGUUCGGGGAUCAUAUUUUUAAGAAAAUUCAAAAAGAUUUUUUUCACUCUUGACUUAGAGUAGGUGUUUCAUAUACAUCUCUAAAAGAAAACUACAAAAAGAUUUUUCUUUAAUAGGUUUAAGUUCCAUUUUCAUAUGAAAUUUAAAACUGAAAACCCAAAAAGAUUUUCUUUGGUAAUCAUAGAUUUCACUUUGUAUGGACAUAUUAAACCUGAAGAAUGCAAAAAGAUUUUCGUCAAUUCUUUUGACAAUUUGUUGUUUUUAAAGUUUCUGAAAAAAAAAAGAAUUAAUUAGCCAUUUUUGCAAGACUUCACGAACUAACCACACCUGAUUCUCCUCUUUCGGAGGUGAGAUACGUAGGCACCCCUCUUGGGUUCGGUGACCUUUUCAAAAACAAAAAAAAAAGAUUUUGAAAAAAAAAAGUUAAAUUCUAACGUAUUUGUUAUCUCUUGUUCAGUUAGUUUAAGGUGAUUGGUUUGUGGCUUCCUGUCUGGUCCUCCAUAUCAUACCAAAUCCAAGGAAGGUUUAGUUGUGUCCAACAAGGAUGUACAGAGUAGCACCAUGGAUGAAACAAAGAGUCAGGAAAUUAAGAGUUUAAAGGAAGAGAAUUUGAGACUGAGACAACAAAUGAUGGAAAUGUACCGAGCUUGGGCCAGUGGGCUGCCUCCACCUCCGUUCCCCACUUUUGACCCUGAAAAUACCUUGAGUCUUCCACCAAAAUUGGAAAGUCAGUUUUCUACUGUUGUUGAUGCACCACAGCAUGCCUCAGAAUCUACUCCACGUCAAAUGCACCUCAAUACUUCUACCACUCUUUCUUUAGCUCCUCUGUAUAAGUCUAUCACAUUCACAGAACCAUAUACCGUCUAUGCUUUUGUUGCUCAACCUUCUACUAACACUUCCACUUUGGCUAUCAAUCCAACGAUUGUGCUUCCCUAGUCCACUAGUGAAUCCACGUUCAAUACUCUUGAUGAUUAUUGUUAUACUCUUGAGCCUACUGUAAAAUUAAGUAGACCGCCAAAAUUUCUUACUAAAAAGCCUAGCAUGCUAGAAGAGCUAGAGAAAGUGGUUGGGAAAGUUAAGAAUGUAGAAAAUAAUAUGAAAAAUUCCCCUGGACUUAUGGGAUAUGAAGAUGUUUCAUAUAAAAACUAGGGCAUGUCUUCAAGUUUUAACCUUCCUCCCAGCUUUGAGACAUCAAAAUUUGGGGAGCCUGAUGGACAGAAAGAUUCUGUGAAAUAUUUGGGAUGACAUUGCAAUCAACCAAGGGAAACUGAAGGAAAGAAGAAGGAAAACACACCUAUUGUCAUGCCAGGGCCAAAGCAGAGUUUAAGAGGUAAACCCACCAAUACUGUCAGCCUCAAUCCUGAGCUUAUAUAUUAGAUCCACAUAACCACUUGCAAGAAGGUUUCUUUCACCAAAAUAUUUAAGAAAUCCCAUUUCACUUCCUCAAUAUCCUUUGAACAAUGCACAAUUGUAUGCUCAUACAUCUUCUUAUCCACAGUGGCAUGCACCUAUCCCUCAACAUCGUCCUCAACCCCCACAAAUUUACCAAGGAACUUCUAAAUCUAAGUUUCAUCUGAGGCCAGAGUUCGCAAGGAGGAGGAAGGAAAAAGAUAAUUUCACUCCUAUUAGGGAAUUCUAUGCCAGUUUAUUUCAGAGAUUGGUACAGCAGGCCAUGAUCACUCGUCUCCUUGAAUAUGCUCCUGACCCACAUUCAAGAAGUUUUGAUCUUAAUGUACGAUAUGCAUAUCAUUCUGAUAUUCAGGGUCACAGUAUUAAAGAUUGUCGUGCUUUGAAAAGAGAAAUUAAAAAGAUGAUUCAAGAUAAAUCAAUUAUGGUACAGAGCAUUGACAGUGAGGAAAGCUCUAGUCAUGCUGAUAUAUAAACCAAUGGCUAAGAUGUCAAGUUGAGCAAUUGAGAAGUCACCCCUCCCUCCUAGGAAGAGGUCUGGUAGUUUGUUUUGUAUUAUUUUCUGUUAUCCGAAUUAUUUCUGGGUUGUAGUUCGGGAUCUAUCUUGUUUUUGUCCCUUUUGUCGUUUAUGGUCAAACCUUUUCUAUCUUUUAUUUCAACUAAAUAGAGUGUCCCUUUUUCCUUUGUGUUUAAAUAUAUGUUAUUUGUUUGUUUUCUUUACAUAGUACAUUUUAUGUUGGCUUUAAUGAUAUGACAUGCUGGCGGAAUUUUUUGCUAGAUCUUAAAAUCCAAUUUGAGCAUGAACUUUGAUUAGAGGGCUAAAGUUAGAAAAAGCAUGUGAGAAAUAGGUAGAGUGUUGAGACAUUUGGUGACCAUGUUGAAACCUUCUUUCAUAAUUAAGGCAAUUAUUUUGAGAAUCACCAGAAUGACUUGGUCAUCAAUUGUAAGGCAUGCCUCAAUUAGGUCAAAGAGUGGAUGUGUGAUCCUACACCAAGAGGAACAGAAAAAAAAUCAGCUCCACAAAAUCAUGAGUCAUUCAAUGUAAGAAAUGUACAACAAAAGUGGAGUUGUAUCCUAGAAAAGCGUAGAAGAAGUAGUGAUACUGGAAUUGUAUCCUAGAAAAGCGUAGAAGAAGUAGUGAUGAACAAACUCAGUCAAAGUUAAUGUUGUAAAAGAUGUCGCACAUGAUAUUCAUCUCCAACUUUCAAAUUGCAUGUUAUGUACUUGCAUUUUCAAAGAUUGAUAUGAUGAAGACAUUUCAUUCUGUUAUCCAAACAUUGUGUCAUCCUUUGUUUAUUCUAUUUGAGCCUUAGUUUUAUUUUCAUUCAUACACCUCUUUUGGAAUCAAUAUAGAGUCAACAAAGCUCAAAAUAAAAGGUGUAGAGCAAAACAGUAGAGUCAGACAAGUUUAAAAAAAAGGAGAAAAAGAAGAGCAUCGAGAAAAAUAAAGUCAGAAAAGACCCAAAGAGAAAAAGAGUCAACAAAAGAAAAAAAUCAGAAUCAAGCAAAAGAACAAGCUGCCAGAACUACGCGUGACCAACCUGAUUCUCCUCUCUCGGAGGUGAGAUACAUAGGCUGCCCUACAUCGGGAUCGGUCCAACCAAAUAAAUAAUUUAGAGUCACCCAGUCAAAAGAAACUGGGGCAUGAGUUAAUCCUCAUUGUUUGAGUCGAUUCCAAAAGUUGUAAGUCCUACCCCAUUUCAAGUGCCGUUUGAGCCCCGUGCCAUCCUUUCUUUCUAACCCUAUCCAAAAGCCAAGUUACAACUAAAGAAAGACCUUCAAAUCAGUAUUUGAGGAUGUUAAGGCUAAAUAUGCAAGGUAUAUGAUGAUGCAUUUAGGAACUACUUGUCUUCCUGAACAUAAGAAAUCAGGAGAGAAAUAAAAAUAAGAGAGACUUAUUGGUGAAAACCCUCAUGGGCACCGUAAAACGAUGGUAAGUUAAGAGAGAUAAAAAUGAAAUAUUCUUAUCAGUGAAAACUCUCACGGGCACCAUAAGACGACUGUGAGUUAAGGGAAAUGAAGGUAAGAGAGUCUCAUUAGUGGAAAACCAUUACAGACACCAUAAGGCAAUGGUGAGCUGAGGAAAAGAGCCUUCAAGGCGCCACUAGUCGAAUGAGGUUUCCGAAUGAAUUUGGCUUAAGGAAGCAACUUAGUUUCAAGGCCAUUAACUCAACAACAAUUGGUAGAAAGUUUGGAUGAAAAGAUCAAGCUGCUUAAUCCAAAAUGCAUGGCAUAAUCAUUAGAGUUGACUAUCAUUUUUAGAUGAAUUUUUCAUUUCUUUGUUUCAAAUGGGGACAUUCAUUGUCUUUUCUUUCUUUUUUUUUAUUUUUAUUUUGUCUUUCUUGAGUCAGUUAUCCGAAUAAAAAAAAUUCAUUAUUUUUUUUUCUUUCUUGUCUUUGAGUCAAAUCCGUGUCAAAACAAGUGAGAAAAGAUUUCAAAACUGGCUACUAGCUUCUUUAAUUGCACAAAGUAAGACAAAAGCUAGCACAUGAAAGAGACAUGAUUGUGAGCCGGAAAAAAAAUAGCUUGCAGAAAGUUUUGUCAACAGACAAGUCGGAGAAAUCAUGGAAAUACCAAGGUUCAAAGGGUCUAUCUGAGAAGCAUGGCAAAGCAGAGAUACCGUGUUUGUUUCAGUCACUCUUAAUAAUCUGAGUUUGGUUCAAUGAUUCAGCAAGUCAAUGAUAUAUGUUAAUGAUUGAAAGCAAGGUUAAAUAUGAAGAGGGCAAGAGCGAUCGCAGCGAAAUCUAAAGCCACAAACCAACCACCAUGUUUUAAACUCACAAGUUUUCUUUGAUGAAACAAAAAACAUAUUACCUUCAAAGUAGAGACUUCAGAGCAUAAACAUCAAGGGCUGCAAUGCCUCACUUUUACAAAUGUAGAAAGCAAUAUUGCUGCACAGGUUUGAUAAUAAAAUCAUGGUAAAAAUUCAUCAUCCUAUAUCCCUCGGAGACACACUUGUCCAGGGAUUUCAGUUGUCAUUUGCUAGGUGAUACACUUUUUAAAUUGAACCUUCACUCCUAGGAGACGUACCUUUUAGUCAAGUUAUUCCUUGACCCCUAGAAGACGUACCUUUUAGUAGAGUAAUUCCCCUUGAUUCCUAUAAGAUGUACCUUUUAGUAGAGCCAUUUUCCCUGAUUCCUAUAAGAUGUAUCUUUUAGUCAAGUCAUUUCCCUUGAUUCCUAUAAGACGUACCUUUCAGUCUAGUCAUUCCCCUUGAUUCCUAUAAGAUGUACCUUUUAGUCGAGUCAUCUCCUUUGAUUCCUAUAAGAUGUACCUUUUAGUCGAGUCAUUCCCCUUGAUUCCUAUAAGACGUACCUUUUAGUCGAGUCAUCCCCUUCGAUUCCUAUAAGAUGUACCUUUUAGUCGAGUCAUUCCCCUUGAUUCCUAUAAGAUGUACCUUUUAGUUGAGUCAUCCCUUUGAUUCCUAUAAUACGUACCUUUUAGUCGAGUCAUUCUCCUUGGUUCCUCUAAUGAUGUAACUGUCACAGAAGUCCUUUAAUGAUAAACUGGAGAAAAAUUUAAUUCUUGUGUUUGGAACUUCACUUUUCUGGAAAAUGAAAUCUCUUUAUAAUACUCUUUGUUUGGGAUAAUUUUCUUUUUAGUUUUGAUGUGAUUUCAGGAGCCCGCCUGAAGAACAGGGUGAAUAAAUGAAAAGUCAAGCAAAAUGGUGAAAAGUUUAAAGUCAAGCAACAGGGCGAAUAAAUGAAAAGUCAAGCAACAUGGUGAAAAUUUGAAAGUCAAGCAACAAGGUGAAGAAAUUGAAAGUCAACAGAUUGAAAAAUAGCAGGUUAGGAACCCGCCUGAAGAACAGGGUGAAGAAAUUGAAAAACAAGCAACAAGCGAUGAAAUUGCAAGUCAAGAGCCCGCCUGAAGAAUAGGGCGAUGAAGUAGCGAGUCAAGAGUCAACUAAAGCUUCAUAGAUGGAGCUUUUGUAAUUUCUUUUAUAUUUUUAACUUGUAAUUUUUAUUUUGAAGUAAUGACAGAGCCGCAGACCGGAACCUCGAUGGAACCUCACUCAAAUCUCCAAUUCGGUAUAGUUCCUCUCCUUCCAACCCUUUGAGAUACGUGUCAAUUGAUUUUUAUUCAUAACUUGGGUAGAUGGGAUGUCCUGAUUAGACUCAGUGGCCCUCGUUCCUUCUGUUUCUUUCCUUGAAUAAUGUUUGGGUCAAAAUUUGGUCUCGUUGUCUACUUAUUUUUCUAAAAACACUUCGUGUUUACAUUCAAAGGGGGCAUGAUGUAGACACCUAAUUUUGUCCCUCCCGAGAGUCACUUUUACUCAUUUAACCUUAUCCUACCUCGUGCCCUCAACCGUGUAAUUAUCUCUCCACAAAAUGAUAAAAAUAGCAACCAACUCUCAACAAAUUAAUAACAAAUUUUAUCUCAUACCUUAACCACUCACACCCUAAUACCCUUCUACCCCACCUACCCACAUGACCCCACCCCCAUAUUUCUUUUACACGAUUUUGGCCUUUACAAAAGGGGAACAGAACACAAUAGAAGGGACCCCACUUUUCCCUUUUUUUUUCUUCUUCAUGAAGUACAUAUACACAUAUAUGGACCAAUAUUGAAAGGGGGGAACCAAAAAAAAAUUUCCAGAUAAAAACCAUUAUCAUCAUCUUCAAGCAAAAACUGACCAGGAAGAAGAAAGAGAAAAGGACGUCAUUUUCUUCUUGUUUCUUUUUCUUAGACCACAGCUACACCAACUGAAAUUCACACACACAUAGAGAGAUUGAGAGCAAAAGAAAUGAGAAAUAGAGGGAGACUGAUGGAGGGAGAGUGAAAUCGAAAGAGUAAAGAACAGAAAUGGAGGAAAAUCAAAAAAGGGUGAGCAAAGCUCCGGCCAGCGUCGAGUUUUCCGGCGACUGUCUCGCCAGAAUUUGCGCUACACAUUGGAUUAAGCAUGACAGACUCAAGAUAUGCCUUCCCCGAUGCCAAAAUCCCAAACCAGUAGCGAAAAUUAGUCGAGAUCAGCCCUUUUGACAGAUUCCAGUGACAUUUGAGCUGACUCCGGCAAGAUUUCAUGGUUUGGAGUACGGAUUCUCUGUUUUUUGCGAUUUCAGUCUUGGUUUGAGUGUUAUUUCUUCUUUCUUUGGGUUAUAAAUCUGUCUGAGUUUUCUAUAUCCCGAUAUCAAGUUUGUUCAUCGUUGAGGUUUGGUCUGAGAUUUUGGAUGCGGUUUUAGUUGGAAGGAGCAAUUUCAAUUAAAAAGCAUUAAGGUCCAUUUCUCAUCUCAUUCUCUAUUCUAUUUUGGAAUUUUAAUUGUUUUUAUGCGUGUGAAUAACUUAUUUGUUUAGCAUGCUUGAAUCUUUGUUGUGUGUACAUGGUUGAUAUUGAAUUUGAUAGUCGAAGAAUCGAUUUAAUCAUGCUGAGAAUGAAUUUAGGGAAUGGUAAUCAAAAAUUGAUAAAAGUGAAUAUUAUGGUAUUUUAAUUCAUUGUUGAUGUUGAACGUGAUAUGUCAUCGAGCGGGUAGGCAAACAGUAGGCUCGGGUAGGCAAAUUUAGAAUUGGUGGAUUGUUUGGAAUGCUUUGUGGAAUGGUUUAUCUUUCUCGUAUUUAGAAAACAUGUAUUCAUUUAGGCGGGGAAUGCCUCGAGACACAUUGUAUUUAUUAACCGGGGAAUGCCCCAACAUAUGAUGUUGGUAGAAAACAUUCGUGAUGAAGGCCCGAGGCAUCGGGUAAAGUAUAGUCGAGGAUUAGUUUAGAAUAGGGUAGGUUUACAUUUCCGUACAUUUUUAUUUUGGACUGGACACUAAAUUUUGGAUUGUUUUGUUUUGUUUUGUUUUGUUUUGCUUGAUCGAUUGUUUUGCGUGCUUUGUGUGUUUUAUACAUUCGUAGUGUCAAAUUAGCUGAUACGCUUCACCAAGCGACCGUGGUCAAACCACAGGACUGAGGGGUGCCUAACACCUUCCCCUCGGUCAACAAAAUUCCUUAGUCGAAAUUUCUGUUUGCAGAUCAGUUUCUAGAGUCAAACUAUUUUGAAAAGGAUUCCCAAAGGUAACUUGUCACACCCGAUUUAUGUCAAGUGGCGAAUCUGAGUUAAAAAAGGUAAAUAAUUCUUUUCGAAAUAUAAUUUUCAAUCUUUUGUCACUUUGAUAAUAAAAACCCUUUCGAACGUUAAAAUCAAUUUUUUUUUGGAGUUGAAAAAAGGGUGUGACAACAUAAACUAGAGCCUAGAGCAGAUCUUUGCAUUUUUCUUGGUUAUCUCUUUGGGAAAAAAGGUCACAAAUUACUCAACUGAAAAACUCAAAAGUUCAUCGUUAGCAGUAAUGUAGUUUUUCAUGAGAAAACUUUUCCUUUUAAAUCAAUCAACACUACGGUUCCUAUUUUUCCUGUGCCAUCAAAUAUUUCUAUUUCAGGUGAUUUUUUAGAUUUCAUCAAUUUACCUAGCUCUACUACUACUUCUUCCCAGGUCCUUACCGUUUCCAGUUCUCCCUCCUAUGUCUCCUCACUAGUUUCUGUUUCUUCUCCUACUCCAAAUUUUACUAUUCUUAUUGCAGAACCUACUAUUUUAAGAAAGCCUACACGAACCUCAAAGUCUACUGGUUACUUGAAUGAUUAUAUCUGCAACACAGUUCACUUCACAGAUGUCUCUAUUCACUGUUUUAUGUCCCAUGUUGAUACCCCUUAUUUUGCUUUUAAUGCUCUCUCUUCUCAUAAUAAGCAUUGUCAUAACUCUUUAUCUUAAAUCCAAGAACCUAAUAGUUAUUCCCAGACAGUCUUACAUCCAGGUUGGCAAGAUGUUAUGGCCAAAGAAUUAGAUGCUUUGAUUACCAAUAAUACUUGGGAAGUAGUAUAGCUUUCUCCUGGGAGAAAAACUCUACCAUGUAAGUGGGUAUACCAAGUUAAGCUUAAAUCUGAUGGUUCGGUCGAAAAAUUAAAGGCUAGACUUGUUGUGAGAGGGUAUAUACAAAGAGAAGGAGUCGAUUUUACUGAAACGUUCAGCCCAAUGGUUAAGAUCACUACCAUUAGAUGCAUACUUGCUAUAGCCGUUAAAAAGGGACGGGGAUUGUUUCAACUGUACAUCAACAAUGUAUUUUUACAUGGUGAGUUAGAUGAAGAAGUUUAUAUAAGUUUCCAAAAGGUGUUCAGCCUCCCAGCCCUUCACAUAUAUGUCGUUUGCGGAAAAGUCUCUAUGGUUUAAAACAGGCUUCACGCCAGUGGUAUUCUAGACUCACUGCAUCCCUUGAAUUUAAAAGUUAUAUUCAUUCUCUUAAUGAUUACUCUUUCUUUUAUAAGCACAGGAGUAUUUUUAUUUCUAUUUUGGCAGUAUAGGUUGAUGAUAUAGUCCUAACGGGUGAUGACAUCCAAGAGAUACAUGCUUUGAAAAAUUUCUUACAUUAUUUCAAAUUAAAGACUUAGGGAACUUACACUAUUUCUUAGGGAUGGAAGUCAUCUGAGAAGCAGAGGGAUUGAUCUUCAGUCAGAGGAAAUUCAUACUUGAGGUGCUUAGUGAGUAUAACUGUUUUGAUCUAGCACCUGUCAAAUUGCCCUUAGACCCAUCUUUGAGAUUGAAAGCAGAUGAAGGAGAUCCUCUUUCAGAUCCUACUUUAUAUCGGAGACUAAUAGGACAAUUAAACUAUAUAACUCACAUAUGAACUGAUCUAGUUUUCUCCACCCAGUAUUUGAGUCAAUAUAUGCAACAUCCACGAAAGCAAAAUAUUGAUGCAACUAUUCAUGUCCUUCGUUAUUUGCUUAGUAACCCUGGAUUAGGAAUUUUUAUGACUUUAUCUCUUUCACUAAAAUUGGUAGCUUUUUGUGAUGCAGACUGGGUGACUUGCCCAGAUAGUCGUCGUUCCAUCAAUGAAUUUUUUAUAAGCAUUGGUGGAAGUCCACUUUCAUGGAAAUCAAAGAAAUAACCUUCUGUGUCACUUUCUUCUACGGAGGUUGAAUACAGAUCUAUGCGAUGGGUUGUCGCCAAAAUCACCUGGCUCGUUCGGCUUCUUAAAGAUCUAUCGGUUCCACCAUGUCUUCCAAUUCCAUUAAAUUCAGCUAGCCAAGUUUCCAUUCAUAUUGCAAAAAAUUUGGUCUUUCAUGAACGAACAAAGCAUGUGGAUUUGGACUGUCAUUUCGUUAGACAAUAGUUCAUGGUCGGUCUAAUUUCUCUCUCGUUUGUGCCUUCUUCAUCUCAGCUUGCUGAUUUAUUCACAAAGCCACUCUCUGGGCCUUCACACCAGUCUAUUUGGGCAAGUUGGGAGUUCGUACCUUCCCCUCCAACUUGAGGAGGGUGUUGGUGAAAAUAAUUUUUCUGAUUUCUUUUCUGAUCACCAUCAAUAAACGAGAGCAAAGAAGAAAGAGGAUGAAAGGAAAUGAAGAAGAUUUAGCAAAAGACUAAAUUGUUGUGGACAUUUGGAGCUUUCCAAGAGAACAGGCAUAAUUUUCUCAACUCACGUAAUUCCACAAAAUCCUCUUAAGAAUUCCUUGUAUAUAUUCUUUCCUUGUAUAUGCAUUUUUCCUUGCACAAAAAGAUUACGCAGAGUAAAUUCGCACAGGAAACAACCAAUAACAUUAGGCCAAGUAUACAAUUUUAUUAGAGUAGGUUAGAGUUUUUCACCUAUAUAUACAACCCCGUAAAGAUUUAUACAGACACAAUGAAAUACGAAAAAAAAAAAUUCUUCUCAAUUGUUGUUUUCCUUCAGAGCUUAAGGAUAGGAUAAGUUAUCCUAGAAAACCAUUGUUAAAACUUCAGUUUCAAUUUUGAAAAGCACUAUUUUUGCAAAGGAAUAAUUUGUUUCAAGUGGACUUUAUUGGAUUUUAUUGAAGAUCUUUUGAGGAGUCCAAAUCUCAAAUUUGAGGGAGUUUGGAGGAGAUUUAAGGUUAUUUGGGAUAAAAUUUCAAAUUUAAAUUUGAGGUUAAAGAUAGAACAUUUCAGAUUUAUGUUUAAAGAUCAGAUCUAUAAUAAAGUUUAACUCAGUAUACAUUAAGGAGUCAUUUGGUAGAGUGUAUUAAAAAGGAUAAUUUAUGCAUUAGUUUUGUGUAUUAUCAUUGUCUUGUAUGAUAUAUUACUAUUUUUACGUAGGUCUUAGUUAUGGCUAGCGGUGUUAGUUUAUUUUGCUUACCGUACUAGUUUAUAUAUGUACUUAUCUUUUGUGUUUGGUAUUCUGUUAGUUUGUCUUGUGUACCAUACCAGUUAUAUACACUUAUAUUUGGGUUGGUUUAUGGGUAUCGGUCCUAAGCCGGGGAUCUAUCGGAAACAGUCUUUCUACUUCUCCUGAGGUAGUGGCAUGGUCUGCGUACACUCUACCCUCCCCAGACCCCACUAGGUAGGAAUACACUGGGUAUGUUGUUGUUGUUGUUGUUGCAGGUCUUAGUUAUACAUUUUAUUGUAUAUUGGGGUGUGUAUUACUAAUAACUUAAAAUCUAUGGUAUUAGUAAUGCAAUGGAUUCUAAUACAUGCAUUUACGUGAUUAAAGACAUAAUUAUCCCUCAAAAUCUUUUUCACAUUCUUUCCACCAUAUAUAUGAACAGUAUUUUUGUAAAAAAUAUUUUUUAAAAAAAAAUUAUGCAAUUUAUGUUAUUUUUAAUACAUCAAAUCAAAUACCACAUAAUAAAAAUGCAAGCACAACCAACGUAACCAGAGCUAACACAAACAUUACUAAUACAUUAUAUUUUAUAUUAUUCUUAUACACUCUACCAAACCACACCUAAAGAGCUUAGGUAGGUCUUGUGUUAUAAUUGGGAAAAAUUUUCAAUAUAUAUAUUUAAACUUUAGUGAAAUUUGUUGUAACACACCUGAACUUUGUGGGGGGUCCUACACCCUGUUGAAAUAUUUAUUAGUAUAGUUUAAUGACAUUUAUAUGUUAAUAAAAAAUAAAUAAUGCUAAAAAAAUAUAAAAAAUUAGUAUAAAUAAAUAUCAAUAAAAUUCACUAAUGAAAAGUUUAAGGGGUCAUAGGACUCCAACGAAGUUCUAAAAAAGUCAUAGGACCCCACAAAGUUCAGGUAUGUUACAAUAAAUUUCAUCAAAAUUUAAAUUUCAAGUAUGUUACAAUAAAUUUCAUCAAAAUUUAAAUAUAUUUAAAAACAUUUUUCCGUUAUAAUUUGUAACAUACUUCCUCUGUUUCAAAAAGAAUUACCUACGUUCCUUUUUACUCUGUUUAAAAAAGAAUGACCACCCUUUUCUUUUUUGAUUAUAUUCAUCUUUUCACGUGACAUGUGUAGACACGUGAUUUUCACCCUCCCGAGUUUAAUAUAUAUAUUUUUCGAUAUUAAAUAUUUAUAUUUGAUAUAAUAUUAUUUAAAUUCUUAUUUUAUUUUAAGAAAUUUUUCGUUAAAAGAUAAAUAAUUAAAUGAAGUUAAUUUUGAGAUAUUUUAUUUUAUUUUUAUUCUAAUUUAAAAUAAAAAUACAUUUUGAUUAAUAUAAAAUUAAUUAAUUAUUAUUAUAUUUAUUGUUAUUAUUAUUAUUAUUGUCUUCAAUUAAAAAAAGAAAAAAAAUAUUUUCAAAAUUCAAAAAAAAUUCUAUCCUAUCUGAUAAGAUAACUACUCUCCUCAUUUUUUUCCCCAAAAUUUCUCUACAAAAAGGACUCCCACCCCCCAGAAAACAGACGGACUCAGACAUUGAACCAGAUAAAAAAAAACAGAGGAAAAUAUCAACAGUGAAAACAUCAAAAUUUUGAAGAAAAAAAAAGAAGAGAAAACAGAGUGAAUACAACAGAGAAGCAAAAAAUAAGAGAAAAGGUUUUGAUUCGUGUCUCAUAUUUCCGUUCAAGAUUUCGAUGACAACAUCUUGCUUUUGUAUUCAAUUAAAGCUGACUUAUAGGUUUUAUUUCAAUCAUAUCUCAUUUAUGUUGUAAGUUUACUGUAAAAAAGUAUGAAUGAAAGUGUUCAAGUGAUUUUUUCUGCAUUAUUUAGCAUAUGGAAUUGAACAUGUGAAUUAUUGUUAUUUGUUAUGCAAUUAUGUUACUAAAUAUUGACAUAUUUGUACACUGAUUCAUUCACAUGCUACAUCAAACUCCCAUCAGCCGCAGCCGCCGUCAAAAUCUGCCGAAAAACGAUGUCAUCCGUUUCUAUUGUUCCGAAAACGUGAAGGAAAAUUUAAAUGUAUAUAUUUUCUUUAAAAAAGAUAAUAAUUAUUUACUAUUAGUUAAAUGGUAGUACAAACAAUUUAAUUUUAAUUUUUCCUUUUCAAUAAUAUUAAUUCCACGUCAUUUUUUGCAAAUUGGCUAUUAAAAUAUUAAUUUUUAGGUAGUUCUAGGGAAUCUGUAUUUUGCUUUUACUAGGAAUUAUAUUAAUCUCGUAAUGUGACAAUAUCUCUAAUACUUAUCAACGCGGUGAUUAAAAUAUGACAUUAGUUUGAAUCUUUUUAUUUUAAACAAUCGUAUUUCACUUAUAUUUUAUGUAUCGUUCGUUUUGGGUUACUUGUUUUCUCCGUGAAUUUAUGUUCGAAUCAGAUUAUUGAUGUUUAAAUAUAUUUGAUAAAAAUAUGAUUUAGGUUUUGUAUAAAUUUAAAGAGAUUAAAUUUUGAGAAUAAUAUUAAAUUUAGCAUAAUAUGGAUAAAUUUGUGUAUUAUUUAUUUAUUUAUUUAUUAUUCUUUUAUUUUUAUAUAUAUUAUUAUUAAUAGAAUUUAAUGAUUAUUUAUUUAUUAAAUUAAUUAAUCGUCUUAAUUGAAUAUUGUUCAAGUAUAUUGUUAAGAUUAAAUAUUAUUUUGAAUAAAUAAAUUUGUUAUAAGUUUACAAAAAAGACAAAUCAAUGCCUUUAACAUUAGGCAAAAUUUAGGUACGUUAAAUGAUCGUCUCAAUUAAGAAUGCGGCGUACGCAUCUUUCCGAGAUAUUCAAAAUUCAAGGAUGUCAAAAAUACACUUUGGCAAAUAUUUUUCUAAAAUUAACUUGAUAAAUACUUUUUAACUUUCACUGAUUUAUUUAAAUAUAAGAUAAUAGACAAGUUUUCGGUAUAAUUAAAAAUGAGUGAUUUUAGGCCUUAACAUAAUUUAUUAAAAUAAUUUAAGUCAAGUCAAUAAAGCGACCGUGCUAGAACCACGGGACUUGAGGGGUGCCUCACACCUUUCUCUCAGUCAACAGAAUUCCUUACCCAAUCUUCUGUUUUCGCAGACCAUAAUAAAGAGUCAUUUCCUUUUGACUAGAGAUUCAAAAAGGUGACUUGGAACACCAAAACUCAAUUUCAAGUGGCGACUCUGUAAAAUAAAAUAAUCUCUAUUCAAAACCGUCACUUUAAUUGGAAAAACCCUUUCGACUCGGUUUCCUCGAGCGAGAAAAGGGGUGUGACAACAUGUUUAAGACCACAAGAUUAAAUGUCCUUUUUGAUACAUUUGACAUAACUUUAAUUUAAAAUCACAAGAUUCAAAAGUCUUUUUUAUUUUCUGAAUUCUGUGCUAAAUCAAAUUAGAUCAUUUUUUUUUUUUAAUCGGAGGAAGUAGUAUAUACUAAACGGUCUGGAUGUGCUUACAUGACUUUGACAUUUUCUUUAGGUAAAUUGACACCAUAUAAAUUGCUCACGUGUUUUCAUGUGUGGACGUACUAUAUAAAUGUCACACUAUAAAAACUAUAUUAUUGACAUAAUUUGGUUAAUCGACAUAUACAUAUUGAAAACUAAUAUUAAAAAAAAUAUAAAAUCUAUUAAUAGAAAAUCUCGCUCCAAACAUGACUCUUUUAAACGACUACACUGUGAAUGUUAUUUCGUUGUUGUAUGAGAAAAGGAGUAUUUUAUUUAUAGAGGUCCAAAACCUUUCCUUUCAGAAAAAGGUUAGUUAAAUAUGAAAAAGUUAUAUAUAUUUUUUUAGAAAAAGUAAAAAUUAUUAUAAUAUUAUUUUUAUCUUCUUUUAAUAAAAUACUAAUACUCAAAUCUAAUAAGAAAAGAGAGCAAAAUCCCUAACAAACAUUUUAACCAUAUCAUAGGCUUAUUAGAGUUUGUGAUUUUAAGGAAUAUAUAUUUGGCAGCUUUGGAUUUCUCUUGCCUAUGAUUUGACACCAUACCUUUAGAGCUUGUGAUUUUAAGAAAAAUCAAUACUUUUCAAAACAUUAAAUUUAUUUUUUCGAUUUCAUUAGGUAAAAAAUUUAAUGUAAAUAUUUGACUUGCAACAUAUUUGGCAGCUUUGAAUUUCCUCACCACUAAAAUUUAUCAUAAUCUAGCCUUUUCAGAACAGUAAAUUUAUUUUUUGAUUUCAUAGGGUGAAAAUUUUAUUGUAAAUACUUGACUUUCAACAUAUGCGGUAGCUUUGAAUUCCCUCACACUUAAAGAUUUGACACAGUAACUUAACCUUUUUAGAAUAAUAAAUUUUAUUUUUCGACUUAGUAGUUAAGUUGAAAAAUUAAUGUAAAUAUUUGACUUACAACAUAACGAAAUAUAUUGCGCUGCAACUCCUACAUAACAUAAUCUUAUCCAUUUUUCCUCAUACCAAACAAGCCAUAAUUUAAUAUAUUUAGCAUAAUACAUGAAGCCCCUUAAAUUUGUUCAAAACUUUUAUUUAGACACUUCAAUAAGAAUUCCCAUGAUCGGACCUCUUUAUAAUGUUGCUUCGUUAUAACAACAUUUCACUAUGAUUUCCUCCGAAAUUAAUAUUUUAUGUUAUAUUUUACUUUUGUAUAACGACAGUUCUACCUGUAACAGUAAUAAUGUUUAUUAUAGCGGCAUACUCUUUGUAAAAUUAUCUCUCUAUAACAACAUACUCAAAUGCUAUGUUAUAAUAUUUUGUAAAAAUAUAUUAUAUACAAAAUAAAAUACUAAAUAUAUUUUGUAAUUAUCAUUAUUGUCAUGCACACAAUAAAUUUAAUGUGUGAAUAUCUAAUUUAAUGGAAAAAAAUUGUAUUUAAAUGGUGAACAACAAUUAUUUCAUAAUUUCGCGACGAGAAGACGAUUAAUAUUUGUCCUUUUUAUAUGUAUGUUCUUUUUAAUUUUACAUAUUUUUAUUUAUAAUAGCUAAAUUAGAUCCGAAUGUUGAAUGUCAGUAUAUAAAUAUAACAUCUCUUUAUAGCAGUAGUAUAAAUUUUGGACAAACACUGUCACUAUAGAGAGGUUUGACUCUACUUAGUUUAAUGAACAUUUGAACUAAGUUCAAAUUGUAUCUAUUGAACGCGCAGUAUCUCUCUAUUUUUCCUUUCAUUUUUAUUUCCAUUUUCUUUUACUUUUAAUUAGAAUUUCAACAUUAUUUUCAUUUACGAUUUCAUAAUGUGUUAUAUCGUAUUUAUACUAUGUUAUAUUAUUUUAAUAAAUAUGAUGUAUGGAUAGAUUGAGUUAUUUCCUUAUUAUAUAGUGUCACACAAUAAUAAUUUGACGAAUAAAUCUACAAAAAAAAUAAAAUACGGAAAGUGAAGCUACUAUUGAAAAAAAUACAGGCUAAAUAAUAACAUAUUAUUAUUAAAUAAUAAGAAAGACAAAAUGAGGAAUAAAAAAGUAUCAAUGCAAUCACACAAAAUCGGCCCUUAUAUAAAAUGAGGCUUUUCGUUGUUAUCUAAUAAUUAGUUUAGUAAUACUUAAAAUAAAAUUUAAAUAACAAUCAAAACAAACACUGUAUUUAAACUAACAGUACGAUAUAAUACAAUAGGUAACAACCAUCCAAACAAUAAGAUUUAGUGGUGGGGCGGAGAGAGAACUAUUUGCCAUGUUCGUCUGGGACUCGUUUGAUAUACGAGAUAAGGUGUUAUAUUUCAUAAUUACUCGUGAAAUAACAUUUAUAUCAUGUUUGCUAGAUGCUGAAAUAACAAAUUAGUGCAAAUUACAAGUGUCUAUUAGACAAUUCUCCCAUAUAUAAAUAGGAAAAAUAACAUAAACAUACACUUUAACUUACUAUAUUUACAUAAAUUUUCAUCCUUAUAAGUUAAUUACAAAAAUUUCAACUAAUUAUAUAUCUUUGUUGGAUGUAUCGGGAGCUAAUUAUGUAUCUUUACAAAGGAAAAAAUAUAUCAUCGUUGGAUGUAUUAUAUAUCUCGACAGACCCAAAAUCAAAAAAAAUAUAUCGAAAACUAAUUAUGUAUCUUUAUAAAGGAAAAAUGUAUCUUCAUUGGAUAUAUCGGGAGCUAAUUAUGUAUCUUUACAAAGGAAAAAAUAUAUCUUCUCUGGAUGUAUUAUGUAUGAUAUCGUCAGAUCCAAAAUAAAAAAAAUAUAUAUCGAGAGCUAGUUAUGUAUCUUAACAAACCCAAACUUGAAAUUAUUCAAAUAUCAAAAUUUUUUGUGAUUAAAUUUCAAAUUAUCGAGGUUUAUGUUGGUUUUCCUAUAAAUAAGCAUGCAACGUAACAACAGAUGAAAUCAUUUCCAUUUCCUUCACAACAAAUUUACAAUUCUCAAUAAAAUGCAAGUCAUUAAUGCUUCCAGCCAGAGACCUCCUAAUUUCCAUAUUCAUCAAAUUAAGAGUCCAAAUUUGCCUACUCAACAAAAGUUCAAACAUCAUGAACCCAGUAAGUUUUACUCUUUUUAGAUUUGAUUUAAUUAAAUAAAAGGAAAAGGUACGAAUAUAUUCUUGAACUUUGAUAAAUGGUAUAUAUAUAUCUUCCGUCACACUUUAGGUACAAAUAUACCCUUGCCGUUAAUGAGAAGGUAAAUAUAUAUUUCUGAACUUUGAUAAAUGGUAUAGAUAUAUCUUCCGUCAUACUUUAGGUACAAACAUAUCCUUGCCGUUAACGAAAAGGUACAUAUAUACCCUUGAACUUUGAUAAAUGGUACAAAUAUACCCUCCGUCAUACUUUAGGUACAAAUAUACUCUUGUCGUUAAUGAAAAGGUAUAUAUAUAUACCCUUCUCACUAACGGCAGAACACGUGUCACAAUCUUGUUCAUUUGUCCUUUUUAAUUUAAUUUAUCCUCACUCUACCCAAAAAUAAUUCUAAUUUAACCCACAAACUAAUUCAAAUAAUAACUCAAACCCGAUCCGAUCUAAUAGAACAUUUAAGACGCGUCUCUAUUCACCCAUAUUCAUUUUCUCUUUCUCUUUCUACUAGACCGGAUUGAGUUUGGGUUAUUAUUUGGAUCGGGUUAUGGUUUAAAUUAGAAUUAUUUUGGAAUGAGAUUGGAAUAAAUUAAACUAAAAAGGUUAAAUGAACAUGAUUGUGACACAUGUCCUGCCUUUAGUGAGAAGGGUAUAUAUAUACCUUCUCAUUAACGACAAGGAUAUAUUUGUACCUAAAGUAUGACAGGGGAUAUAUCUGUAUCAUUUAUCAAAGUUCAUGGGUAUAUCUGUACCCUUUCAUUAACAGCAAGAAUAUAUUUAUUCCUAAAAUAUGCCGGAGGAUAUAUCUGUACCAUUAAUUAAAGUUCAGAGGUAUAUUCAUAUCUUUUCCGUUAAAUAAAUUAACUAAUUAAAUAAAGAGUUCUAAUAAAAAAUUCCAAUUCAUAAUAAUAUAAUGAGUCAACUUUAUAAUCAAGGUAGUCUAAAGUGUUGCAAGUAAAAUUUACUUUAUUCGAUGAGUGACAAAGUUAUUCAUGGCAAAAUUUAUUUUUCUACUUAAUAGUAAUAGAUUUAUUUUAAUAACUCCAAUUAUGAUAUGAUAAAAGAAACCAAAUUCAAAUAGAGCUUGGUACUUCUAUUUUAUUGGAACUUUAAGUCAUCUUAGUUUUGAAAGGAAAUAAUUAAAUAAACAUUUUUUAAAAAAAUGCAGGUAAUUACACUUUAUAUAAAGCCUAAAGUUGACAUUAUAUAAACAAUAUCAUUUAAAAUAGUCAAAUUAAUUUUCAUAAUGUCAAAUAUAAAUUUUCUUUCAAGUCUUUACAAACAAAAGCACGUGUCAUGACUUUAGUUCAAAAACAAAAUUGGAUCAUUUUUUCUUAAGGAAAAAUAUCGUUUCCACCCCAAAUUAUACCCGAAAAGUUAAAAUCACACCUAAAUUAUACUAGUGACCUAUUACACAUCUAAAUUAUAAAAAAGUAAAACUAUUUACACCCUGUCAGACUACCACCACUUGCAUGUGGUGUAGUGUUUUACACGCGCUGCUACGUCAACACCACGUCAGUAAAAAGUAUCACUUUUUUAUAGUUAAGGUGAGUAAUAGGUCACUUAUAUAGUUUAUGUGUGAAUUCGACUUUUCAACUAUAUUUUGGGGUGGAAACGAUACUUUUUUCCUUAAUAUUUUUAGCCGUUUACUUUUGUUAUUUAAUAGGCUGGACGCGCCUAAAAUAAGUGUAAUACACGCGCCUUAGAAUGGGGAUCGUGGGGAGGUAAUAAUAUCAUUUUUAUAUAGUUAAGGUGUGUAAUAGGUCACUUAUAUAAUUUAGGUAUGGCUUAAACUUUUCUUGUAUAGUAUAGGGUGAAAAUGAUGUCUUUUCCCUUUUUUGUUAUUUUGAAACAACCGUUAGGAACAAGUGUCUUUUGAAUAAUCUCGGUAGUUGGAUGACUAACUUGAUUCAAAAACUUAAGCCAAAAACGUAAAAAGUGAUGAAAUAAAUCCAUUACUUACCCCCACCUUACAAUUAUUUACUUACCCCUUGUUACUUUAAUAGCAAUAUAUAUAACUAAUUAUAUACUAUGGUAUUGUUUACUAUUUGAUACAUUUACAGGAAAUUGGCUAUUCCAAGCUAAAGGCUCAAUUGUAUAUAAGCCAAUUCAUCUAAAUUGUGCACCUAAUGAUACAAGUCAUCUAGGUAUGAGCAUUUCAAAUUUUCUAGAUUAUAUUAAUAUUCUGAAAUAAGUUAAACAAUUGCCUAAAAAAUUGUUCCCAAAAUAAAAAGUUUAUGGAAUUAAUACAUCAAACUAUUGACCAAAAUGUUGUUUACAAAUGAAGACAAAUAAAUGGACAACUCGGAAAUGUGGUAGAAUGGAAGAGAUCCCUAGCUAGACAUUUAACUUGAGAGGUCUCAGAUUUAGAUACUGAUCCAAUAUAUUUAAUUAAAUUUGUCUUUGGCCAAUUUGAUGGUUUCAAUUCGACACAAAUCUGGAGUAACCUGCUUGAGUGCUAGUGAAUUUCGAAUAUCAAAUAAUUAAAUCAAAAAAGAAAAAUUAUAUUAUUUGUCACACCUCUUUUUUAAUUCGAAAAUAUUAUUAAUUUAAGUUUCGAAAGAGUUCUUAUUAUUAAAGUGAUAAAAGAUUGAAAAUUUGUUUCGAAAAAGGAUUAUUUAUAUUUUUUAUUCAGAGUCGCUACUUGACAAAAUUCGAUGUGCCAAGUCACCUUUGAAAGAUCCUUUUCGAAAUGAUUUGACUCUUUAAACUGGUUUGCGAACAGAGACUCCGGCUAAGGAAUUCUGUUGACCGAGGGGAAGGUGUUAGACACUCCUCGAUCCCGUGGUUCGACCACGGUCUCUUGGUAGAGCGUAUUGGCUAAUUUGACACUAUGAAUGUAUAAACAAAAAAACACAUAAAACAACCAAACCAAACAAACGAAAAUCCAAAAGUUAAUGUCUAGUCCAAUUAUUACACACCCAAAAUAAAAGGUACUGAAAUGUAAACCUACACUAAUCCUAAACUACGCUUCACCUGUGCCUUGGAUCUUGAUCACGAACAUCUUCCGCCAACAUAGUACGUCGGAGCAUUCCCCGGUAAAUAAAUACAAAUGGCCUCGGGGCAUUCCCCAGCUAAAUGAAUACAAUUGAUCCAAAUACGGUAAACAAAAUCAUUCAACACUUAUUCCAAACAUUCCACAAUACCACAAGUUCUAAAUUCGCCUACCCAAGCCUACUAUUUGCCUACCCGGCUUUUGGCGGUCUUAUCAUGAUACUACCGAAUUUAUGAGCAUCUAUCAAUUAACUAAAUCAAACAAUACUAACCUUUUUAUCAAUUUCUCCAUUCCCUUUCCAAAUUUGUUUAAUCACAAAUAAGGUAUCAUUUCAACACGCAGUCCAUAAUCACAAAAUUAAUCACAGAAUCGCAACAACAACAAUUCAUACCAUGUUCAAUUCAAUGCAUCGAGUAAAAUAAACAAUGAAAUAAAAGGAAUGAGGAAGUAGAAUUAGACCUUAAUAAAUCGAAUAUGAUUUUUUAUGGCGAUGAACUGACCAAAACCCGUCAAAAUUCUCAACAACGAACUCACAACACAAACAAAACCCCAAAAUCCAAACUAACCCGAACGAUCCAACUAACCCAUUUCAAUUUUUUAUCGUUUUUCGAUGAAAGUCGGCCAGAAUAAGGUGAAACGACUCGAAUUUUUAUGGAUUCGAUCGCUGUUUUACCAUUUUCGACAAGGAACUAAUGUUUUCCGAUGGAUUUGAACAGAUGUGGGUCGGUUUUAACAUGUUUUCGGCGGCAAUGAGCCUUUUUUCGGUGACCUCCAGGCGAGGACUCGCUGGUCUACGAUCUCUCUCUCUUUGUCUCCGAUCUCUCUCCCCUCUCAAAUCUCUCUCUCUUUUCUAGUGUGUAAGUCGUUGAUUUUCUCUCAAUUUUGUGUGUGUAUUGCAUUUUUCGGUGUGUAUGAAUGACGGUGGUUGUCUGUGCUACUGUGUGCGUGUAUGUAAAUAUGGUGAUGGAGGAGUCCCUAUAUUCCAGUUAUGGUGUAAGUAUAUAUUCUCUUUCUGUUCCUAAAUUUUGUUGGAGGAGGAAGAAUAAAACGUGAAAGGGGGAGCACCUAGGGGUAUAAGGGUAUGUGGGGGUAGGGUAUGGAGUGAUGAAUAGGGGAUGGGGUGGUGAUGUGUUGUCCAAAAUUGAUAGGAGGAGUGGUUAAUUUUGUUACCAAAAGAAUAAUUGGGGAUUAGGUUUGUUAGUGGGUUUAUUAUCUUUUUGUGUUUUUGUAGGAUAUAAUCAUACGGGUGAGGGCACGCAGUAAGACGGGGUAAAAAUGGUAAAAAUACUUUCGGAGAGGGACAAAAUUACGUGUCUACAUCAUGCCCCUCUUUGCAUGUAAACACAAAGUGUUUUCAUACAAAGAAGUAGACAACGAGACAGAAUUUUGAUCCGACCAAUAAUUAAAGAAAGAAACAAAAGGAAAAAGGAAAGACAACCGAGUUGGAGAGUCGAGUGAGGUCCCGUCGAGGUUCUGGUCUGCGGCUCUGUCAUUACAUCAAGAAAAUAAAAAUUACAAGUUAAAAUAUAAAUGAAAUUACAGAAAUCCUAUCUAUGCAGCUUCUUUUGGACUCUUGACUUGAGUUUCAUCACCCUAUUCUUCAGGCGGGCUCCUGACUUGCAAUUUCUUCACCUUGUUCUUCAGGCGGGCUCCUGACUUGCAAUUUCAUCACUCUAUUUUCCAGGAGAACUCCCGACUUGCAAUUUCAUCACUUGUUGUUUGAUUUUCAGUUUCUUCACCCUGUUCUUUAGGCGGUUUCCUGACUUGCUAUUUUUCAAUCUAUUGACUUUUAAUUUCUUUCCCUUGUUGCUUGAUUUUCAACUUCUUUCCCUUGUUGCUUGACUUUCAACUUCUUCACCAUGUUGCUUGACUUUUCAUUUAUUCGCCCCGUUCUUCAGGCGGGCUCCUGAAAUCACAUCAAAACUAAAAAGAAAAUUAUCCCAAACAAAGAUUAUUAUAAAGAGGUUUCAUUUGCCAGAAAAGUGAAGUUCCAAGCACAAGAAUUAAAUUUUACCCCAAUUUAUCAUUAAAGGACUUUUUUGAAAGUCACAUUAUUAUAGGAAUCAAGGAGAAUGAAUUGACUAAAAGGUACGUCUUAUAGAAAUCAAAGGGGGAUGACUCGACUAAAAGGUACGUCUAAUAGGAAUCGAGGGGGAUGACGCGACUAAAAGGUACGUCUUAUAGGAAUCAAGGGAAAUAACUCGACUAAAAGGUACGUCUUCUAGGAAUCAAUAAAUGGCUUGCCUAAUGCAGGUAACAAGUGUUGAUAAUAUGUUUCGUCCUGCGCUUGAAUAAACACCUCCACUAUCUUACUUUCUUUCAUUGGCGGUUUCAUUCUAGCAGCUUGUUCACGCCAUUUGAUCGCAUGCUCCCUAAAACUCUCAGUAUUCUUCUUCUUCAUAGUGGUUAGGGAUUUUUCGUCAGGGAUCAAUUCCACAUUAUAUUAAAAUUGUUGCACAAAUUCAUUAGCUAAAUCAUCUCAACUAUUCCACCUAUCAAUAUCUUGAUCAACAAACUACUCUGAGGCUAGACCUAAAAGAUUUUCACCAAAGUAAGCCAUAAGCAGUUCUUCUUUGCCUCCAACACCUCUUAAUUGGUUACAAUAACGUCUCAAGUGCGCUACCGAAUCCCCGUGUCCAUCAUACUUCUCAAACUUUGGCGUCUUAAAGCCAAGGGGAAGGUUGAAACCUAGAAACAUGCACAAGUCCUUAUAUGAGACACUUUUGUAACCCCCGAGUCCUUGCAAGCUCUUUAUAGCUAGUUCCAAAAUUCUUAAUUUUCUGGUUAUUUUCUCUUGUUCUUCUGUCAUAACAGGCUUCUUAGUGUUAUGAGAAAAUUCAGGCAAGUCAUUGUAGCCAUAAGGAUCAGUCAACUUAAAUGUGGGCUCAAUAGCAUGAUGCUGAUCCGCAGAAAUAUUCAAUACAGGCUUUCUUGUAGAGUAGAGAGGCACAACCGGUGGAUAAACCUCAAAAGUAGGAGCUUCGGGUGGGGGUGGCACCGCAAAAACAUGAGCAUCAGAUGGAGCAAAGCAUGCUGUAAUUUUGUAUUGAGGAGCUUGAAGAGGUUUAUUGGAAGUGUUAGGAUAGUAUUGCCCUGGAUUAGACCCUGAUGCAUGUUGUGGCGUGUCAAGCAAAAUGAAAAAUUGUGCACGUGACACGGGAGGUAAGCUAGAAAGAUAUUUCAAAUUAUCGGUGGGAAAUGGAGGAGGUGGCAACCCGUUAGCCCAAGCUUAAUGCAUUUCUAUAAUUUGCAGCCUUAAUUUCUAUAUCUCUUCUCAUUCCCCGAACUCCCUAUCUGAUUAGUGACCAUAACCUCAGUAUUCUUGUUAGCCAUAAUCUUUUCUUCGACUUGGUGCAAUAUAGAGGACUAGCCAGAAUGCCACAAACCAACCACCUUAAACUAACUGAACAAGAUAUGACAAAUGCGUUAGAGAGUUCAACACUUUUACAAAACCUUUUUUUUUCUUUUUGAAAAGGUCACCGAACCCAAGAAGGGUGCCUACGUAUCUCACUCCCGAGAGAGGAGAAUCAGGUGUGUGUAGUUCAUGAAGUUUGGCCACAAAAGAGCCAAUAAAACUCUUUUUCUUUUAUUUUUAUUUUUCUUGAAACUUUAAGAAGAAAAUAAUAAAUUGUCAAAAGAAUUGACGAGAAAUAUUUUUGCAUUUUUUUCAGUUUUAACAUACCUAUACAAAAUGAAACCUACGAUUACCAAAGAAAAAUCUUUUUGAAUUUCGAUUUUGAAUUUCAUACGAAAAUGAAACUUGAAUCUAUUAGAGGAAAAUAUUUUUGUAGUUUUGUUUUGAAGUGUAAAUGAAGCACCUACUCCAAAAAAAAAGUGAAGAAAAUCUUUUUAAAAUUUUCAGAUUUCUAUACAAAAUGAAAUCUAUGAUUACCAAAGAAAAUCUUUUUGGGUUUUCAAUUUGAAUUACAUAUGAAAAUUAAACUUAAAACUAUUAACGAAAAAUCUUUUUGUGGUUUUCUUUUAAAGAUGUAUAGGAAACACCUACCCUAAAUGAAGAGUGAAGAAAUUUUUUUUUGGAUUUUUUAAGUAAGAUCCCCGAACCCACAAUAGGCUGCCUACGUAUCUCUCCCGAGAAAGGAGAAUCAGGGGUGCGUAGUUCGUCCAGACAGGACAAUUACGGAUUAAAACACCGACUGAACCCUAACUUGAGAAAGGCGACCCCAAACAGAACAUCCAAAACAUCAAUAAAAUCUUUUUGAGUUUUCGAUUUGACACUUAACAUAAAACUGACACCAAACACUAUGAAACAAAAAUCUUUUUGGUAUUUUCGUUAUAAGAGAUGUACAAAACUCCUAUCAUCUUUUUUGAAUUUUCCUUUUAUAAAAAGCUCCUAAAAAUAUUUUUUUAGAAUUUUUGAAUUAUGAAUGCAUGCUAAAGGAGAUAACGGGAAAAUCUUUUUGAGGUUUUUUGUUUUUAAGUAAAUGCGUGAAAAAGGUAAGAAAAUCUUUUUGAAUUUUUGGAUUGUGAAAAUAAAAGCCAUAAAGAACUCUAAAAAACUACGAAACUCUCUUUUUUUCACUCCUUGUUUUUUUUUUCAACAAAUUCUUGCCUACACCCUUUACUUCUAACACUUGCUUUUGCCCAAAUUAGUCUGUCAAAUGACCCCGUUACCCUUAAAGAUGCAACAUUUAGCACGUAGGGAUGCUUUAGAGGUGAGUCUCCUACAAAGGACCAAGUGGGUCCCGCUUGGUCUCAAUAUGAUGCAGAUAAGUAUGACCUAAAAUCUGACCUACACUAGUGUUCACUAACAAGGUUGUUUGGGAAGCAUAUGGUCAAUAGUGGCUUGCUUUAGCUGUCCACCUACUCCAUACAACCCAACGGCUCGCCCUCCUAAAAUAAGGGUGACUCAACUAUAGGUCGUGUACAUACGUGUACUGCGAACUUGUUGUAGAAAGAAAGACUCGGGUUAUGCACAUGAUGUCAGAUAUAAAGCGGUAACACAUAAAGUAAAAAUUGUAAACAAAGAGCACGUAGGCACUCAACAAUGAUAAACAAUAACACAAAACAACACAAACAAAAUGUCUAUACACCUAUAGUGCCAAACUAAGCCGAUACAACUCCAAAAUAAGGUCGAAUUCUGAAAAGUUCCCCAGCGAAGUCACCAGAGCAGUCACACCCCUUUUUUAACCCGAAAAUAUUAUUAAUUUAAGUUUUGAAAGAGUUCUUACUAUUAAAGUGAUAAAAGAUUGAAAAUUUGUUUCGAAAAAGGAUUAUUUACAUUUUUUUAUUUAGAGUCGCCACUUGACAAAAUCCGAUGUGCCAAGUCACCUUUGAAAGAUCCUUUUCGAAACGAUUUGACUCUUUAAACUGAUUUACGAAUAGAGACUCCGGCUAAGGAAUUCUGUUGACCGAGGGGAAGGUGUUAGGCACCCCUCGAUCCCGUGGUUCGACCAUGGUCUCUUGGUAGAGCGUAUUGGCUAAUUUGACACUAUGAAUGUAUAAACAAAAAAAACACAUAAAACAACCAAACCAAACAAACGAAAAUCCAAAAGUUAAUGUCCAGUCUAAUUAUUACAAACCCAAAAUAAAAGGUAUUAAAAUGUAAACCUACACUAAUCCUAAACUACGCUUCACCCGGUGCCUUGGAUCUUGAUCACGAACAUCUUCCACCAACAUAGUACGUCGGAGCAUUCCCCGGUAAAUAAAUACAAAUGGCCUCGGGGCAUUCCCCGGCUAAAUGAAUACAAUUGAUCCAAAUGCGGUAAACAAAACCAUUCAACAGUUAUUUCAAACAUUCCACAAUACCACAAGUUCUAAAUUUGCCUACCCAAGCCUAGUAUUUGCCUACCCAGCUUUUGAUGGUCUUAUCAUGAUACUACCGAAUUCAUGAGCAUCUAUCAAUUAACUAAAUCAAACAAUACUAACUUUUUUAUCAAUUUCUCCAUUCCCUUUCCAAAUUCGUUUAAUCACAAAUAAGGUAUCAUUUCAACAUGCAGUCCAUAAUCACAAAAUUAAUCACAGAAUCGCAAUAACAAUAAUUCAUACCAUGUUCAAUUCAAUGCAUCAAGUAAAAUAAAUAAUGAAAUAAAAGGACUGAGGAAGUAGAAUUAGACCUCAAUAAAUCAAAUAUGAUUUUUUAUGGUGAUGAACUGACCGAAACCCGUCAAAAUUCUCAACAACGAACUCGCAACACAAACAAAACCCCAAAAUCUAAACUAACCCGAACGAUUCGACUGACCCAUUUCAAUUUUUUAUCAUUUUCCGAUGAAAUUCGGCCGGAAUAAGGUGAAACGACUCAAAUUUUUGUGGAUUCGAUCGCUGUUUUACCGUUUGCGACGAGGAACUAAUGUUUUCCGAUGGGUUUGAACAGAUGUGGGUCGGUUUUGACAUGUUUCCGCCGGCGAUGACCCUUUUUUCCAGCGACCUCCAGGCGAGGACUCGCUGGUCUACGAUCUCUCUCUUUGUCUCCGAUCUCUCUCCCCUCUUAAAUCUCUCUCCCUUUUCUAGUGUGUAGUCGUUGAUUUUCUCUCAAUUCUGUGCGUGUAUCGCAUUUUUCUGUGUGUAUGAAUGACGGUGGUUGUCUGUGCUACUGUGUGCGUGUAUGUGAAUAUGGUGAUGGAGGAGUCCCUAUAUUCCAGUUAUGUUCUGAGUAUAUAUUCUCUUUCUGUUCCUGAAUUCUGUUGGAGGAGGAAGAAUAAAAAGUGAAGGGAGAGAACCUAGGGGUAUAGGGGUAUGUGGGGGUAGGAUAUGGAGUGGUGAGUAGGGGAUGGUGUGGUGAUGUGUUGUCCAAAAUUGAUAGGAGGAGUGGUUAAUUUUAUUACCAAAAGAAUAGUUGGGGAUUAGGUUUGUUAGUGUGUUUGUUAUCUUUUUGUAUUUUUGUGGGAUAUAAUCAUUUGGGUGAGAACAUGUAGUAAGACAGGAUAAAAAUGGUAAAAAUACUUUCGGGAAGAAAUAAAAUUACGUAUCUGCAUUAGUAUUCAUUUCGAUACGAAUCUAGAUCAACAUGCUGUGAAUUUCGAAUAUCAAAUUAUUAAAAAAAAAAAAUAGCAUUAUUCAUUUGACAUGCCACAAACUCUUUUCUUAAAAAAACAUUAAUUUGCAGGUAACAUAACUGAGACAGAUUCUGAUCAUUUAUUAAACAACAAUGAAGAGAAGAAGAUUCAGGUAUUACGAAAUUUAAUUCCCUAUUAGUUUGACUUUCUUCAUGUUUGUAACAAAAUAUUCAGAUCAGUUUUAAUUUAUUUGUGUAACCUUUUCUUAACCCCUAAAAAGAAUAUCUAUUUUUUUGAACAACUCUUUAAUUUUAACCUUCUAUAUAACAAGUUUAAAACCACAUAAUUAAUAGUUCUUUUUUUUAUAAAGAAAAAAUUAGCAGUAAUCGUACCAAACAUACCUAAAAGCCUUAUCUUGUUUGUUUCCUUUCUAUCUUUAAGUGAAAUAUCAGAGUUUAUUACUGAAAUGGUCUCUCAAUUAUCCCAAAUUACCAGUUAAAACUUACAAUGCACUGGGUGUAUACAUCAAGCCGGCCAAUACAUGCAUGACAUAUGUUUAAAUUUAGAGUUUAUGUUACUUAGCCAUAAUUAAUUAACAAGUAUUUUACUUAAUCUAAUCACUUAAUCAUGAUAUUGGUGUAUAAAUCGAGUUGACGUAAAUUUUUAGUAAAGCUAUGUUUCUUUGUGCUCUCUCAACAGAACAAAUACUUAUUUUGCCCUCUAAUUUGUUAAGUAACAUUUUGAAUGCUAUAUCAUAGUUUUCUUUUUAAUGCAAUUGUCACACCCCUUUUUCAACCGAAAAAAAAGAUUAUGUAUUGGGUUCGAAAGGGUUUUAUUAUGAAGUGACAAAAAAUGAAAAUUCUGUUCCGAAAAGGAUUUUUUUAUAAUUAAAUUCAGAGUCGUCACUUGGCAUAAUCCGGUGUGCCAAGUCACUUUUGGAAAAUUCUUUUCGAAAUGGUUUGACUCUUUAAAACUGGUUUGCGAACAGAGAUUCCGGCUAAGGAAUUCUGUUGACCGAGGGNNNNNNNNNNNNNNNNNNNNNNNNNNNNNNNNNNNNNNNNNNNNNNNNNNNNNNNNNNNNNNNNNNNNNNNNNNNNNNNNNNNNNNNNNNNNNNNNNNNUCUCGAUCAUCUUCCGCCAACAUAGUACGUCGGGACAUUUCUCGGUGAAUAAAUACAAAUACCUCGGGGCAUUCCCCGGCCAAAUGAAUACACUUUUUAAAUGCGGCAAACAAGACAUUCAACAAAUAUUUCAGACAUUCCAAUAAUCCCCCAUUCUAAAUUUACCUACUCGGCCUAAUGUUUGUCUGCCCGCUCGACGACAUAUCACAUUCAACAUCAAUCAUAAAUCAAAAUACCAUAAUAUUCACUUUUUACCAAUUUUCGAUCCCCGUCCCGAUUCAUUCUCAACCAAUGAUUAACACAACAUCCAACACUUUUCAAAAUCCGAAACCAACAUCCAAUACAUACACCCAACGAAGAUUCAAACUAAGCACACGAGUCAUCCACAACAACAAUCAAUAUUUUUGCUCAAAGUAUUCAAAACCACACCAUAAAAUCACAACAUUAACCAAAAUUCGAGAAAAUGAAAGAGCAAAGUUAAGAGAUGGACCUUCAAAGAAUCGAUUUCAUAGAUAAUAUAGAAUUAAAGGAACCCAAAUCCGAGACCUCGAAUAGGAAAACAACAGCUAUGAAAUCCAAGCUCGGUAUCGAAGAACUGAGACACGAAACGGAAUUCAAUGAAUGGGUUAUGACAAACUGAAACCUAAAUUCCUAAGCCAACAACGACUACCGAUGAACUCGCGACAGAAAUUGCCACAGCACAAACCCGAAUCAAAUUGCGAAGCAACAAGAAAACCGUACCGGAAUUCGCAUACCAGUCACAGUUUCAACCGUUUUCCAACGAACUUCACCGAAAUCGGACUGAAAUGGAUCAAACUUGGUCGAUUUUGUCUGAUUAUGGGGUCGAGCCGAUGCUGUUUUGGUCGUAAACCGGGGCUAGUGAUGUUUUUCGAUGGCUUUGACCAGAUUUGUAAUGGCUUUGGCGCGUUUCCAACGAGAUUGUCGCCAGAACAGUAACCGCCACUCUCUUCUCCCUCAAUUUCAAUCGCGGAUCUCUCCCUCUCUCGUCGUCUCUCACUAUGUGGCUAUGUGUAUCAUGUGCGUGUAUGAGUGUUUCUUGCCAGUGAUUUUGUGUAUGGUAUUGGCAAGAAGAAAAGGGAAGAAUCCCGUCAAUUAUGAGUGGGUGAUUAUGUCUCUUUUGCCGUGGAUAUUGUGCGUGUAUAUAUGCUGUGAGGUGUGCUCUUGGAGCAAGAAAAGGAAAAAAGAAUGGAGUCUAGGAGCCGAAAACCAAGAAAAUGGAAUUCCCUCUUAAUGUGGGAUCCCCCCUGUGUAUAUUUCUUUUGGCCAAGAAAAAGGAGGGGUCACGUGGGGUAGGGGUAUGGUAGAUAGGUAGAGGGUGGGGUGGUAAGGUUGUUAGG
rnacentral:lncRNA from 1 species